GGUUGAUCCUGCCAGUAGUCAUAUGCUUGUGUUAAAGAUUAAGCCAUGCAUGCCUAAGUACAGACUAGUAAAAGGUUAAACUGCGGACGGCUCCAUAGAUCAGUAAUCGUUCGUUUGGCGAAUAAAGUACUUGGAUAACCCUGUUAAUUGUAGAGCUAAUACAUGCACCGACGACCCGAUUGGGAGACCGAGAGGGUCGCACUUGUCUAACUUUUCGAGCCCGGUGCUCGAGGGGGUAGCGGCGGCCGGGGAGGUCGCGGGGUGGGCGUCUGCAGAGACAACUGGGGGUGCAA
rnacentral:rRNA from 1 species